rnacentral:rRNA from 1 species
GACUCUUGAAGUCUUAGUGGCGCAGCUAACGCACUAAGUAGACCGCCUGGGGAGUACGGCCGCAAGGUUAAAACUCAAAUGAAUUGACGGGGGCCCGCACAAGCGGUGGAGCAUGUGGUUUAAUUCGACGCAACGCGAAGAACCUUACCUGGCCUUGACAUGCAGAGAACUUUCCAGAGAUGGAUUGGUGCCUUCGGGAACUCUGACACAGGUGCUGCAUGGCCGUCGUCAGCUCGUGUCGUGAGAUGUUGGGUUAAGUCCCGUAACGAGCGCAACCCCUAUCCCUAGUUGCUAGCAGUUCGGCUGAGAACUCUAGGGAGACUGCCGGUGACAAACCGGAGGAAGGUGGGGAUGACGUCAGGUCAUCAUGGCCCUUACGGCCAGGGCUACACACGUGCUACAAUGGUGCGUACAGAGGGCUGCAAACCCGCGAGGGGGAGCUAAUCUCACAAAACGCAUCGUAGUCCGGAUCGGAGUCUGCAACUCGACUCCGUGAAGUCGGAAUCGCUAGUAAUCGCGAAUCAGAAUGUCGCGGUGAAUACGUUCCCGGGCCUUGUACACACCGCCCGUCACACCAUGGGAGUGGAUUGCACCAGAAGUGGUUAGUCUAACUUCGGGAGGACG